rnacentral:lncRNA from 1 species
UGAACAACAUGUCUUGUGCAUGUUCUUAUAGAUGGAGGAGUGAAACAUGGGCAAGCUUUGUGUGGCGCCGGUUUUUUAGAAAAUAAUUUCUAGAAAACAGGUCUUUGUGUUCACCAGCCCCAGAACUACUGUUAGCUGGUGGAAACUCACUUGAUACAAAAAAACACCCAAGAAAAAUAAAAAAUCUGGGUUACAAGACCAUGAAGGUCUACUGGUUUGGACAAAAGUCUGAGGCUCACGGCGGAAGCGAGUCGAGGAAUCUCGAGUGCCCAUGGAACUCCAUUCCCACAGGAACAAC